rnacentral:rRNA from 1 species
UGGAGGGCAAGUCUGGUGCCAGCAGCCGCGGUAAUUCCAGCUCCAAUAGCGUAUAUUAAAGUUGUUGCAGUUAAAAAGCUCGUAGUUGAAUUUCGGGGUUCAUACGUUGGUCGGGCUUUUUGGUCUGUACUAGCGUAAUGGAUUCCUACCUUCUGAAUAACCGGCAUGCCAUUAAUUUGGUGCGCCGGGGAAGCAGGACUGUUACCUUGAAAAAAUUAGAGUGCUUAAAGCAGGCUAUCGCCUGAAUACAUUAGCAUGGAAUAAUGAAAUAGGACGGCAUGGUUCUAUUUUGUUGGUUUCUAGGAUCACCGUAAUGAUUAAUAGGGAUAGUUGGGGGCAUUAGUAUUCAAUUGUCAGAGGUGAAAUUCUUGGAUUUAUUGAAGACUAACUUCUGCGAAAGCAUUUGCCAAGGAUGUUUUCAUUAACCAAGAACGAAAGUUAGGGGAUCGAAGACGAUCAGAUACCGUCGUAGUCUUAACCAUAAACUAUGCCGACUAGGGAUCGGACGAUGUUAAUUUUUUAAUGACUCGUUCGGCGCCUUACGGGAAAC